CUGACUUGCUGAGUUUUCCAGCGUUUAUCUUUCUCCCGCGCUGGAUGCUUCCUGCCUUUGAACAUCAGACUCCAAGUUCUUUGGCUUCUGGACUCUUGGACUUACACCAGUGGUUUGUCGGGGCUCUCAGGUCUUCUGCCACAGACUGAAGGCUAUACUGUCAGCUUCCCUACUUUUGAGGUUUUGGGACUCGGACUGAGCCACUGCUGGCUUCCUCGCUCCUCAGCUUGCACGCGGCCUAUCGGGGGACUUCACCUUGUGAGCGUAAUGCUGACUUGGUUUAUGUAUCUAUCUCUUUCCCACACCAUCUAUGCCUCAGAGAAAUCUUCACAAACUCAGCUUCAAGGAUGGGUCAGAGCCUUGGAAACUGCAUCUGCCUGGCUGUCAUUUUCUGCAAGUGCUGGUGUAAUUUCAAGAUUUGCUUGCCAAAUGCAUUAUAGCAUACUGGACAAAAACAAGGACUGCUGGGAUGAAAUUGAGAUUAUGAAGCUCUUGAGGUAUAAAGAAGAAAACUUUCACAAAUACCUUAGCAGAGAGAAUAUUAAAGUGUUCUCUCUACCUUCUCUCAUACUUACCCCACUGCAUCACCAGAACAACCCAUCACCUACAGUAAAUGUAAAAAAGGGACAGACAGGGAUGUUUUUAUAGGGAGUCUAAAGGAUAUCCUUUUUAAUAAUCACAGUUUACCACCACCAACUAUGUCACAGUUCUGGAACAUUCAGGAGCUGAUAUGUGUUUCAAAGGCUUGAAGUUCUUUCUAUUUUAUAUGUCAGAGGGGAAAUCUAGAUUUAUAUCAGUGAGCUAGAAAAAUUUAUCUACAGAGAAAUGUAAAAUGUUAAAGAGAUGUAAGGAAGCGAAUCUUUUGAAAGGAAGACAAAUAUUUAUGUAUAUAUCAGGCCAUUUGAUUUGUGCUAUUUCUCCCUAAAGUAGGACUCUGAUACAAACAAUGUAGAAACAAGGAGGAAGGGACAAAAUAAAAAAAUAAUUUAUUUUAUCUCUCAGGGUUUAAUAUUAGCCUUCUAUGUAGUUCAACAUUAGUAUCAUCAAUACAUUCAACUCCAUGAACACUGUCUUUCUGUAGACCUCUUUUUCAUUCCCAUGAUUCACUUAAUGAACCUAGCAAUAAUGGUGAUAUUAACAACAAGUAGUCAAAUGAGAUGUAGCACCUGACUUUGGAGGGAUGUGGGGUCAGAUGAUCAGCAUUUGAGGUAUCUUUGUUCACUUGCUUUUACCACCCUGACCACAGGCAUCCUGUUUUCUCACUGAGGAGGAGGGCACUGCUCUGGUUGUAUUACAGAGCAAAGUUUGGCCCACAUUUUUAAUGGAUGGAAUCACUAUUUCAUACAAGGACAAGGUUCAUGGGUGUGGCUUUCUCUUCGUUUUCUCUCUUCUACAGGAUGGAAUAAUAAGGGCCAGAGACUGCUCUUCCAUGGAAAAAUGUUGAGAUGUCUCACAACCCCCAAACCCCAUAUAAUCUACUUGGAAUUAGUCAGUGGUGGUGAUGUUGGCACCACAGUUCAACUUUUCAUCUCUUGCUCUAUAUCUCCGGUUCUAUCUCGUCGAUGCUGGGCGAAUGUUCAAUUUUAAAAGACAGAGAUAUCUUUAUGAUCUGUUUGAGCUUGAAACUAUUUAGGCCUAAAGUAUUAUAGGACAAAGUUACAUAGUAAAGGAAAGCUCACUAAUGUUUCAUAGGUUGAGUUACAAUUCUCAAGCCUGAGAUCUUUUGGUGGAAAUUGCAACCUCUGCAAAAUAGUAUGUUUGAAGACCAUAUGUGGGGUGAUAAUUGUAGUCUAAGGGACAAGAUUCCGAAAAUCCUGGAUUUCCUAGCUGUAAUGUUUAAUAGCCUUACAAUUUCACCCCUUAUUUUACACACCUCAGAGUGUUAUUUUAAACCCUUUGGUUUUUAUUCCUACAUAGAACUCUUAAAGAACCUUGGCUUCUGGGUCAGAGAGUAAGAGAGAUAACAAAAGAUUCAGAAGAAAUAAAAAGUACCCUAUAAAAGGAUCAAAGGAGUAAAAUACAGGUCUGAAGAUGCAUUGCAAAACAAUUAUUUAGGUGUUGUCAAAUUAUAAAAUUAUCUUUCAAAUGUAAAUAUAGAUCUGGUGCUAUAAUUAAUAUUGGCAAGUCUCCUUUAAGAUGUCAAGCUUCAGCAUUUAAUUUCAUAAUGGACCUUUCAAAUGAUGAUAUUUACCUUAUAAAACAAACUAAAAGGCAUUUAGGAUAAAGUUCAGAAUGUGACUUACAAGGAUGUCAAUGAGAAAUGCCUUUACACUGUUCCAAAUAUAGAAAAUCACAUGCAUGUUUUGGUGAGAAAUUUUGAAUAACUUGGAGGAUAUAUAAGUCCUGAUACUCAGAAACAGUAGUUUUCAUUGUGAUUUAAAUUUUUGAGACUUUCCCAGCUAUUCCAAGAAUUAUUUAAAGCAAAUAUGAUAAUUAUGCACAGCACAAUAUUGUUUUGGCCUGAUUAAGCAGUGAUAGUUUAUACUGCCUAGAUGUCAUUAAUAAGUUAUUCCUCUUCUAAGUCCCCAAAUCCAGCUACCCAAACAUGUUACUUCUACCUCCAAAUUGUCUUCUUUUCUUUUAGAGUUCCCAUGCUAAUGACAUAUUAUGUUGAUGCCACUGCAAAAGCCAUUUUUGGUUGCUAACUCUAGUUCCAUUAUCAUUCAGAAUUAUCUUAAAUAAACACAAUUUGAAUUUUAGGAUUUUUUUCUUUUGUAAUUGAAGGCAAGCAAGCCAGAAACAGAAACAGGAGGAAGGAGUGCACUUAAUCCAUAUUAGGAACUGCAGCUCAAAAAGAUAUGCUGCUGAAUUGUUAUUGAGGAGAUAAGAAAAAGGAAGUAGAAUUUAGGUGAAUAGUAUCCUUAAUUAAUAUGGAAGAGUCUGGAACAUAAGCUGUUUUAGGGGCAAGAGAGAUGGAGAUGGUGAAUAAAAUAGGACACAGAAUUCAGAAAUGGACAUGCCUGCUCGACAUUUGGAAGCUUAUGUUAGAAUGCAGGAAAGAUGUUUUACAAUUAAUCAGUGGAAAUCAUUCCCUUGCAGUUGUCUCUUUGGCAAGGUGUUUGUGAUAGUGCCAGUGUUAGAAGAGUCAAACAGAGAUUCAUCGAGAAAAUAACUAGUUCGUUCGUUUCAGUUUUGUUUGUGGUGUGAUGAGGUGAUAUCUGAGCCAUGUUCUCUACCCUAAUUUUUUUAAAUGCAUAAUGUUACCAUAACUCCUCACCUGUUUAAAGUUCUUCUCCAUUCUUCACUUAUUUUUGCCUAAUAUAGAUGAUGAUUAAAAACCUAAGGUGUGAGUGUUUUUAUGCCAUUAGAAAGGUGAGAAAUCCCAUUUAACACUUCUGCUGUAGCCUUCUGAUUACACCUAGAAAAUUGCUGGAUUGCUGCUAUCUUACAAAUUGAUGAAUGGGAUCGGGUAUACGAACAGCAGGAUUAUUAUUUGUUCCCCUAACAAGUGAAUGACAUGUCGGCCUAAAUGAUAUGCCAGCAACGUAAAGUAGUUAAAGCCUCUUCCCCAGAAUAUUGAACAUUGCAGUGCUUAUUCUGUCAGCUAAACUGAAGUUGUUUCAG
rnacentral:lncRNA from 1 species